GUUCAAAUAGUUUAAGAAAAAUUUUAGUUUGUGGUACUAGAGAUGUAAGAUUUACUUUGGACU
rnacentral:tRNA from 1 species